rnacentral:rRNA from 1 species
AGCGAACGCUGGCGGCAGGCCUAACACAUGCAAGUCGAACGAACCUUUCGGGGUUAGUGGCGGACGGGUGAGUAACACGUGGGAACGUGCCUUUAGGUUCGGAAUAACUCAGGGAAACUUGUGCUAAUACCGAAUGUGCCCUUCGGGGGAAAGAUUUAUCGCCUAGAGAGCGGCCCGCGUCUGAUUAGCUAGUUGGUUGAGGUAAUGGCUCACCAAGGCGACGAUCAGUAGCUGGUCUGAGAGGAUGAUCAGCCACAUUGGGACUGAGACACGGCCCAAACUCCUACGGGAGGCAGCAGUGGGGAAUCUUGCGCAAUGGGCGAAAGCCUGACGCAGCCAUGCCGCGUGAAUGAUGAAGGUCUUAGGAUUGUAAAAUUCUUUCACCGGGGACGAUAAUGACGGUACCCGGAGAAGAAGCCCCGGCUAACUUCGUG